GUGAGUAACCUGCCCUUGACUCUGGGAUAAGCCUGGGAAACUGGGUCUAAUACCGGAUACGACCGCUCCACGCAUGUGGUGGUGGUGGAAAGCUUUUGCGGUUUUGGAUGGACUCGCGGCCUAUCAGCUUGUUGGUGGGGUAAUGGCCUACCAAGGCGACGACGGGUAGCCGGCCUGAGAGGGUGACCGGCCACACUGGGACUGAGACACGGCCCAGACUCCUACGGGAGGCAGCAGUGGGGAAUAUUGCACAAUGGGCGGAAGCCUGAUGCAGCGACGCCGCGUGAGGGAUGACGGCCUUCGGGUUGUAAACCUCUUUCAGUAGGGAAGAAGCGUAAGUGACGGUACCUGCAGAAGAAGCGCCGGCUAACUACGUGCCAGCAGCCGCGGUAAUACGUAGGGCGCAAGCGUUAUCCGGAAUUAUUGGGCGUAAAGAGCUCGUAGGCGGUUUGUCGCGUCUGCUGUGAAAGACCGGGGCUCAACUCCGGUUCUGCAGUGGGUACGGGCAGACUAGAGUGAUGUAGGGGAGACUGGAAUUCCUGGUGUAGCGGUGAAAUGCGCAGAUAUCAGGAGGAACACCGAUGGCGAAGGCAGGUCUCUGGGCAUUAACUGACGCUGAGGAGCGAAAGCAUGGGGAGCGAACAGGAUUAGAUACCCUGGUAGUCCAUGCCGUAAACGUUGGGCACUAGGUGUGGGGGACAUUCCACGUUUUCCGCGCCGUAGCUAACGCAUUAAGUGCCCCGCCUGGGGAGUACGGCCGCAAGGCUAAAACUCAAAGGAAUUGACGGGGGCCCGCACAAGCGGCGGAGCAUGCGGAUUAAUUCGAUGCAACGCGAAGAACCUUACCAAGGCUUGACAUGAACCGGUAACGCCUGGAAACAGGUGCCCCGCUUGCGGUCGGUUUACAGGUGGUGCAUGGUUGUCGUCAGCUCGUGUCGUGAGAUGUUGGGUUAAGUCCCGCAACGAGCGCAACCCUCGUUCCAUGUUGCCAGCACGUAGUGGUGGGGACUCAUGGGAGACUGCCGGGGUCAACUCGGAGGAAGGUGGGGACGACGUCAAAUCAUCAUGCCCCUUAUGUCUUGGGCUUCACGCAUGCUACAAUGGCCGGUACAAAGGGUUGCGAUACUGUGAGGUGGAGCUAAUCCCAAAAAGCCGGUCUCAGUUCGGAUUGGGGUCUGCAACUCGACCCCAUGAAGUCGGAGUCGCUAGUAAUCGCAGAUCAGCAACGCUGCGGUGAAUACGUUCCCGGGCCUUGUACACACCGC
rnacentral:rRNA from 1 species